rnacentral:misc_RNA from 1 species
AAGUCGUAACAAGGUUUCCGUAGGUGAACCUGCGGAAGGAUCAUUAACACGUAUCCAACGUUAAACCCCCCGUGUUGUUAGAAAGUAGCAAUCCCUGGUAAAUCAUCGCCGAACAGUUUUGAUUCGAUCUCUGCGAAGAGAGCGGUUGUAGCGCGAGGUAAGUGGCCUGGCAUUCCUCUGCUUGUUAGUGUCUGACAGUGUCACUAGCUCUGUACGAAUGGCGCAGUCACGAUCGCUAGAGGCCGACACGGCCGGCGACCGGGUCACCGGGCAUAGACCCCCCUAUCACCUUUGCAUGAAAACGGGCCUGCGCUUAAUUGUGCGGCCACCAAACUCGAACAACUGUUAACAAUGGAUAUCUUGGUUCUC